rnacentral:rRNA from 1 species
AGUGAACGCUGGCGGCAUGCCUUACACAUGCAAGUCGAACGGUAACAGGUCUUCGGAUGCUGACGAGUGGCGAACGGGUGAGUAAUACAUCGGAACGUGCCUAGUAGUGGGGGAUAACUACUCGAAAGAGUGGCUAAUACCGCAUGAGAUCUACGGAUGAAAGCAGGGGAUCGCAAGACCUUGUGCUACUAAAGCGGCCGAUGGCAGAUUAGGUAGUUGGUGGGAUAAAAGCUUACCAAGCCGACGAUCUGUAGCUGGUCUGAGAGGACGAUCAGCCACACUGGGACUGAGACACGGCCCAGACUCCUACGGGAGGCAGCAGUGGGGAAUUUUGGACAAUGGGCGAAAGCCUGAUCCAGCAAUGCCGCGUGCAGGAUGAAGGCCUUCGGGUUGUAAACUGCUUUUGUACGGAACGAAAAGCCCUGGGUUAAUACCCUGGGGUCAUGACGGUACCGUAAGAAUAAGCACCGGCUAACUACGUGCCAGCCGCCGCCGUAAGAC